rnacentral:lncRNA from 1 species
AGAAAAUAGAAAACACAAUAGCAAAAGACGUCCAUAACUCAUUACACAAAAGGUAUAAACUGAGCAAUCAAAACCUGACCAAAAGCAUGGGGUGAACUGGGAUCAUCUGUGACACACCUAUUUAAUAAUGGUCAACCAAAUCAUAAGGAUAUGACAAUAGUUUUACACGUAGGAACCCUUAGUGAGGAUCUCAAACUUUAUUACAAG